CUCCCUCUCACAUUCCCAACUCCCAAGGACAACUUGUCGCUGGCUUCAGACGCCCGCCCUGCCUGAGGUUUCCUUGUGUCCCGGACUCUGCUGUUUUUCUUUUGUCUAAUUUGUCCAUUUCUGCACUUGGCAAUUUCUUGGGAACUAACUUGAAUCUACUUCUCCCUUGUCUGUAAUAGUCUCUUCUCUCUCUCUCUCUCUCUCUCUCUCUCUCUCUCUCUCUCACACACACACACACACACACACACACACACACACACACACACACACACACACACUGUCUUCUUUUCUUCCUCUUAGCCAUCUCUGGGUCUUCCAGCUGGCUCUGGCCUGUCCCUGGCACCUCCCAGCUACCUACUGAUCCGACGGCGCCCAAGCCGGUAUAGGCUGGUAAGACUGCUCCCGGGAAGGAGGCUCCGGGAUGAUCCACGCGGCCGCGCCCCGCACCCACCGGCGGCGCCACGGAGACGCAGAGUUCUCCAGAUCCUCCAAGCGCCGUCGGCGCCACCACUCCAGACACUGUUCACGAGGCCUCAAAGCGUGGAGGCGGUGGCCCGGGGCCGACUCUCGGGUGACCGCCAAUUUGGUCCCAAGACACUUCAGGAUCUCGCAACGGAUGGAGGACAGCGCGGUUCCAAGAGAGGGCGCCAAAGGCGACGCGCUGGCGGCCAGCUCCAAGCCAACCAGGCCCAUUGCGUCCGUCUGCAGGAACCUGUCCCUUCACCCUGCUUUGGACACUGAGCUUCGGAGGAUCUGGCUGCGAGCUGAUUCAACGCCAGGGCGCCGCCUAGAGGACAAGAGGGGAUAUAAACUGUUUGAAGUUCAUCAGCACGGUGAAGUUUUAUUGUAUUUCCGGUCCCUAAAAGAGAAGCCGGCAGCCAGGCAGACUCCCUCCUUAUCUCCGAGUUUCCACGCCAGGGACACACACGUGGCCAAGCGGACACUUGCCUUCGGGAGCAGGGAGGGAGAGAGCCCGCUCCGAUCGACUCUCCCUCACCGGCUCAGUUCUACUUGGCUCCACUCUCCUGUCUACUCCCCUGUCUCAAGGCUGGGGUUGCCUUAGAGUUGGAUAUCUGAGAGCUGCCUGGGAGUCUGGGUAACCCUGGAGCCCAGGGCCUGGCCAGAUGGGCACAAGCCAGGAGCCCAAAGGUUCUUCCUCUGAUCCUUUCUCUAAACUAAACCAGUGAAGAAUCUGCAGCAAAGCCCGGGAGAGGAAUGGGAACCAGGAGGGCAGCGGGCAGAGCCCAGCGCCUAUACAGCUUGGGUCUUAAAAACAGCCUUGCUCCAUCACGUUUCCAUAAAUAAAAGAGCCCCGGCCCAGAGUUCACAUGUCCUUUUGGGCCCUAAUUUAUAUACUACAGAAAAUCAUAUACCCACCUC
rnacentral:lncRNA from 1 species